rnacentral:rRNA from 1 species
GACGAACGCUGGCGGCGUGCUUAACACAUGCAAGUCGAACGAUGAACUUGGCAGCUUGCUGCUGGGGGAUUAGUGGCGAACGGGUGAGUAACACGUGAGUAACCUGCCCUGGACUCUGGGAUAAGCGCUGGAAACGGCGUCUAAUACCGGAUAGGACCUUCCCUCGCAUGGGGGUUGGUGGAAAGUUUUUUCGGUUUGGGAUGGACUCGCGGCCUAUCAGCUUGUUGGUGAGGUAAUGGCUCACCAAGGCGUCGACGGGUAGCCGGCCUGAGAGGGUGACCGGCCACACUGGGACUGAGACACGGCCCAGACUCCUACGGGAGGCAGCAGUGGGGAAUAUUGCACAAUGGGCGAAAGCCUGAUGCAGCAACGCCGCGUGGGGGAUGACGGCCUUCGGGUUGUAAACCUCUUUUAGUAGGGAAGAAGGGCUUCGGCUUGACGGUACCUGCAGAAAAAGCACCGGCUAACUACGUGCCAGCAGCCGCCGUAAGAC